rnacentral:lncRNA from 1 species
AAAUAUGUAUAAAUAUGCAUAUGUAUACACACAUCCGCUUUUAUAUUUACUUUCACAUGUUCAGUCUCCUAACUGGAAAAUUCGAUUGAACGCGGCAUGUCUUUACCAUGACAUAUUUCCUAUUGUGGAUCCUGGCAUAAAAAGCACAAAUUAUGAGGAAGAAAUGGACAAAGCAUGUGAUUCAUUAUUCGAUUUGGCUAAAGACAACAAUUCGAGUGUACUUCGAGCAACGGCUAAAUGCAUAUGCUACGUUUUGAAAGAACUAUGGGAAAUUAUUAACGAAGAUAAGCGUACAGCAUUUAUAAAUGUUUUGGUAAACAGACUUAUAAAACUGAAAUCUUGUGAAGGUGUAAAAAGUGAAGUAAUUUCAGGUUUUUGUGAUUUAGCUAAAAAUAAAAAAAUAAAUAAAUUUUUUUAUAAAAUAUUUAAUAAAAUGAAAUAUUUAAUGUUUGAUAAAAAUGUAAAAGUAAGAAAAAAUUUUAUAACAUUAAUACUAGAAUUAAAUGAAAAUUUAGAUGAAAACUUUUCAAGUGAAUUGGAAUAUAGUGAAUUAAUAAAAAUCGUAACAAAAGAUUUUUUAAUACAUAAUGUUCAUUGUUGUGUUAAAAAAAUGCGUUAUGCACGAUUAGAAGACCACAAAAAAUUAAAAAAAAGACAAGUGUGUUUUUUUUGGAUGUAGCAUCUAGGUUAGUAACAUAUUCAAUUUGGAAAAAUAAUAUUAAAGAGCAAGCAAAAGAUAUUAUGAAUUUAAUAAAUGAAUAUCCUAUUUUUAUGAUAUGUGUAAG